rnacentral:rRNA from 1 species
UUUAUGGAGAGUUUGAUCCUGGCUCAGGAUGAACGCUGGCGGCGUGCCUAAUACAUGCAAGUCGAGCGAACGGACGAGAAGCUUGCUUCUCUGAUGUUAGCGGCGGACGGGUGAGUAACACGUGGAUAACCUACCUAUAAGACUGGGAUAACUUCGGGAAACCGGAGCUAAUACCGGAUAAUAUUUUGAACCGCAUGGUU